rnacentral:rRNA from 1 species
CGAACGCUGGCGGCGUGCUUAACACAUGCCAGUCGAACGGCAAGGCCCUGCUUUUGUGGGGUGCUCGAGUGGCGAACGGGUGAGUAACACGUGAGUAACCUGCCCUUGACUUUGGGAUAACUUCAGGAAACUGGGGCUAAUACCGGAUAGGAGCUCCUGCUGCAUGGUGGGGGUUGGAAAGUUUCGGCGGUUGGGGAUGGACUCGCGGCUUAUCAGCUUGUUGGUGGGGUAGUGGCUUACCAAGGCUUUGACGGGUAGCCGGCCUGAGAGGGUGACCGGCCACAUUGGGACUGAGAUACGGCCCAGACUCCUACGGGAGGCAGCAGUGGGGAAUAUUGCACAAUGGGCGGAAGCCUGAUGCAGCAACGCCGCGUGCGGGAUGACGGCCUUCGGGUUGUAAACCGCUUUCGCCUGUGACGAAGCGUGAGUGACGGUAAUGGGUAAAGAAGCACCGGCUAACUACGUG